UAAAGCUCUCACCCACAGUGACACACCUACUCCAACAGGGCCACACCAUCUAAUAGUGCCACUCCCUGUGCGGAGAAUAUACAAACCAUCACACACACACACACACACACACACACACACACACACACACACACACACAAAUAGAGGACUGUCACGCCCACCUCGGCCGGCAAGGAAGACGCAACACGGUCGGAUUCUUCUCAACAGCCUUUAUUGCAGGACCACCUCUUUGCUGAUACGGGGACCUUGAGCGGCAAAAAUGCUCGCCUUAUAUACACAACAGGCUGUGGCUAUGCUAAUUGUCCUUCAGGGAUUGGCGGAGAACGAAUCACCUCACUAGCAUGGUACCGUCCCGGCCAACUGACACCAGGUGCAAAACCUGCGCAUGCGCAGUACCGUUGUUCACCACAGGAGGGCGCCCUACAGAGGACUGCCCAUUUCAAGUCACACCUCUAGCAGCUCUUAGCAACUGUGAUUAACUGUCAGGAAGGUAGUCAGAGAUGAUCAAUGGAGCUGAAACCAGAGCAUAGAACUGUAUAGAGAAACUAACCCUGGAAUGCAGUGCUCACACAGAGUCUCACUGUGUAGUUCCAGCUGGCUUGGAGUUCACCCUGAAGCUUGUGCUGCCCUUGAUCUACAGGUUACAGAAGUAGUAAACCUCUGGUGGGAAGGCGAUCCUGACCUGGCUGGCUGCCUACCAGGUGAAGAGACCGUGAUUGCCAUGUCUUUGACCACGUUAACUAACAAGACCUUCUCGACAUACCUGGAAAGGAGUCCCCACCUCCUCCUCUACCCACGUGCAGUAGAGUCCCCUCAAGUCAAGCCGCCACAAGGUUCUGCACGCUCUGCCCGUCUUCCUGAGAGCCGAGUUUGAAAGGCAGAGCUGUCUGUUUUUCUCUCAGUCUUUUUCAUUACGAUGUGGCCAGAUCCUCGAUGUGCUUUUAAACUCUUUGGGCUUCCUCUUCCUUUGAAGUUUCACUUGGCACCAAACAAACCCUUCCCUGCAUCCCUAGUCAGAGUGACGAGGACACUGGCAUCCUACUAAGCUGUCCUUUUUCUGCACUUCAUCCAUUAGAGGUUCCCCACAGGGCAGUUGGAGGGUCCAACAAGGAGCCAGAGCCCCCGAUUUAGGGCAACCCCUCCUUAAGUCGUCUGCAGUCCCCCCCUCCCCCCCACACACACAUCAGCGAGGAGAGCGGAACCGAGAAUCCGAGGAACUUGCUGGGGUCCCGCAUGGGAGGCAACACGAGCAGGAUUUCAUUCUGUGCCUCUUGGAAUCCACCCGCUGCCCCUGACGGAGCAGGUACUCUCUAGCCCGAAGGCAUAUAAGUUCAGAUGCUCUGUUAGGACUAGUUCAUACUUGUCACAUCUUAUAGUUUUACAUGAAUUCGGGGGAAUUUAAGUUUCAUUGUUGACAGUAGUUCUAACAGGAGCUCCUCCUCCUGAUCCACUCACUCUGUAGAGAUGCUGUGGUGAGUUUUUCUCUGCACGGCUUUGUGCUCCCAGCGGAUCACAUGCAGGCAACCAUCAGGAGAUGUCUCGGAUCCGCGAAUGGAAACCAUACAGGAACGCCCACAUGCAAGCACAAAAGCACGAAUGCACACACACACACACACACACACACACACACACACACACACACACACAAGCACGCACAGACUCCAGUUAACUUUAAAACACCUUUACUAAUUCUAAACCUUCCCCUGCUAUCCCAGGCCCAGUGGGGAAGCAGCCAGUGACUCCUUACCCAAAAACUCACAUGACUGGUUCGCUUUAUCUCCUGCUAUUAAUGCGUCCCCUUCUUCUCCCCCCCCGCCCCCGCCCACCAACCCCUGCCCCUUCUAUGUGAUUCUCUUUGUCCUAUGCAAGCAACUCCACCCAGUACACAACCAUUGGGCGCUGGCAUCUUUAUUGAUCGAUCAAAAGCCAAUUGGGGGACAAGGACCUCAGUGUCUGUACAUGGAGAUUCGAACACCAGCACCAGUCUCCAACAUAGAGGUAAAGGCUAUCAAGCAGACCAACUACCUCCUGGUGUAGCAGGGCCCCAGACCUUAGCACAGCUGACUCCACGACGGUAGUACCAUUCAUUCAGGCCACCCCAAGAAAGGCUUGAGGCUACACUGGGAUACCAAAUACCCAGUGUAGAAAACAGCCGGCUAAUAGAGACUAAAACUCAUUGGCUAAGAUCCAUAUCCAAGCAGUCUUCUCUGGUGAAUACUGAGGUGCCUUAAUAAAAAUGGAGCACAAAAAUAGUCACUUCCAUCAGCUGUGACAGUCCAGGACAGGUGACCCACUCUUCUGAGACUGCCAAUGGCACCGAGAUCCAAGAUCUCCCCGUUCCGUUAAGAACGAUCAUGGUUGAACAUCUGCGUGACAGUGGGAAGACACACCAUGCUGCAUUUCUGUGAGUAUGCAGAAAUGAAAGAGACCUGUGGAUGUCGGACCCUCCUGGACUCUGUCAGUGUUUGCCCCCUGCUGAGCCUCGAUGAUGCAUGUGGAAGCCUUUGUUCUCUUGAAGGAACAUCCUGGCCUUCCUGUCCGCCAUAGGGGGUAGCUAACACCUGAAUGCUAGAUCUUUUGAUCUCAGCUUUAGUUUCCAUUGUGCUCUGUCUCUCCAUUGUCUUCCGCUCAGUGGUUGGGGUAUAUACUCUGUGUACCCAGUAAAAGCUUUGACAUUCAUUUUCUUGAAA